UACUACUGAACACACAAGAGAUCAGAACAUUAGAUCUCACUGUCUCUCUGUCUAAACAGGAACAAUGAUUGGAUUACUUUUCACUCUUUGCCUCUUUGUAACUGGAAAAAUGUCUGAUCUUAUUGAGCUUCAAGUACAAAAAGUGAGGCUGGGACAUGAAGUGACAAUAAAAUGUGACCAGAAAACAGCCAAAUAUAAUUUAAUUUGGUAUAAACACAGUUUGAUAUCAGCAUUACUAGAGUCAAAGAAGAAGAUAUAGGAAUAUAUUUCUGUGGAAAAGGAAAAUCAGCUGCUUUAGAGUUUAUAUCUGGAACCCUUUUGCUGUUUGCAGAUGAGAAAACUGACCAUCAUCCUCCACCUGAAUCUGCUAUCAAGAAUGAAGAACCUGUUAAACUCCAGUGUUCAGUACAAGCAGUUACUCUGAACUGUUCAGGAGAACACAGUGUGUACUGGAUCAGACAUGGAUCAGGAGAAUCUCAUCCAGGAAUCAUCUACAUUCAUCCACACACCAGAGAUGAGUGUAAGAAAAGCUCUGAGACUGAUUCUCCUACACAGAGCUGUGUCUACAAACUCCCCAAGAGAAACCUCAGCCUCUCUGAUGCUGGAACUCACUACUGUGCUGUGGCUGCAUGUGAACAUGAAGCUAAAUCUAAUGGAAAAA